rnacentral:lncRNA from 1 species
GAGGUGGGCAAGUUAGUUGCUCCAAAAACAAGAUAAAAUGAUUGAGUUCUUUUCUCAAGCGGGAGUCGGAGUUUAUCUGCUCUGAGAGCCCCAGCAGCUACUAUUAAUGAGUGUCUGGAAUAUGUUCCUGGCAUUUCACCUACCCUCUCUCCAAUCCUUCCAAGAAACUCACAAAGCAGGGCUUUUUCUUGAACUUCUCUUCCUCACAACAGUUAAAUCAUCCAUUUAAAGAUGUCAAACAACCUCCGUGUUCUAAGAACUAUUUACUGAGCUCUACGGAGACACAGCUACAAGCACCACAUGCUGGACCCCUGAAUAUGGAGGGCCAACUACACUAGAAACACACACGCUAGCUGAGAAAGAUGGUGGCUUAAGGGGAAAAAGAAAGAAAGGGGAGUAGAAAUAGAAGAAAAGAAAUGAGAAGGAGAAAACAAAGGAGAAGGAAAACGAGAAAAGAAAAAUGUAGGAAAAAGUUGUAAAGAUCACCAGUUUGUAGUAGAGGCCCACUCUCGGAAGGUUUGGUAAAAAGUUGUUUUGAAUCAUAAUGUUGGCUUUAUUGGCAUGUUGAAACCAUUUACCUCUGUAAUUUUCCAUUUGUUUUCCUUUCCAACUACCACUCCUCCUGCCUGAUAAAUAAAUACCAUUGCAAGA